AACGAACGCUGGCGGCAUGCCUAACACAUGCAAGUCGAACGAGACCUUCGGGUCUAGUGGCGCACGGGUGCGUGACGCGUGGGAAUCUGCCCUUGGGUUCGGAAUAACAGUUAGAAAUGACUGCUAAUACCGGAUAAUGUCUUCGGACCAAAGAUUUAUCGCCCAGGGAUGAGCCCGCGUAGGAUUAGCUAGUUGGUGAGGUAAAGGCUCACCAAGGCGACGAUCCUUAGCUGGUCUGAGAGGAUGAUCAGCCACACUGGGACUGAGACACGGCCCAGACUCCUACGGGAGGCAGCAGUGGGGAAUAUUGGACAAUGGGCGAAAGCCUGAUCCAGCAAUGCCGCGUGAGUGAUGAAGGCCUUAGGGUUGUAAAGCUCUUUACCCGGGAUGAUAAUGACAGUACCGGGAGAAUAAGCCCCGGCUAACUCCGUGCCAGCAGCCGCGGUAAU
rnacentral:rRNA from 1 species